CCUACGGGUGGCAGCAGUGGGGGAUAUUGCACAAUGGGGGAAACCCUGAUGCAGCGACGCCGCGUGUGGGAAGACGGUCCUCUGGAUUGUAAACCACUGUCCCCAGGGACGAAGAUGACGGUACCUGGGGAGUAAGCUCCGGCUAACUACGUGCCAGCAGCCGCGGUAAUACGUAGGGAGCGAGCGUUGUCCGGAAUUACUGGGGGUAAAGGGAGCGUAGGGGGGGAUGAAAGUUGGGUGUCAAAACUACCGGCUAAACUGGUAGUCGCACUCGAAACUGGAGCUCUUGAGUGAAGUAGAGGCAGGCGGAAUUCCUGGUGUAGCGGUGAAAUGCGUAGAUAUUAGGAGGAACACCAGUGGCGAAGGCGGCCUGCUGAGCUUUUACUGACGCUGAGGCUCGAAAGUGUGGGGAGCAAACAGGAUUAGAUACCCCAGUAGUC
rnacentral:rRNA from 1 species